AUAAACUCAAGCUGUUUGCUAGCUGCUUCCUCUCGGCCCCGACGACGUAGUGGUUCUUCUCGAAGGCUCUCUCCAGACGGAGGAGCUGGGAGGGAGAGAAGGCUGUCCGAAUGCGUUUGGGUUUUCUGGCGAAAGGACCGUGGAGGAGCAGGCUGUCCUGGGACACGUCGUUACCUGACACCACAUUCAAGGAAUACAACAAGGGCCGUCAGUUGGCUUUCAAAGGACGACCCGGAGUGACCUGGAUCGGUCGCCUCGCUGCUGGGAUGGAGGGCUAAUUACUGGCACCUGCUGGGCCUCGGCCCUCACCUUGACUAUGAAUGGGCGUCCACGUCAAAGGCCAGGGCUCCAGCUCAGCCUCUGACAGAUGGGCUGCCCAACUGCUGCCAACUGAUUUCCAUGCAAUAUUCAAGAUG